CCCUUAGAUGUCCGGGGCCGCACGCGCGCUACACUGAAGGAAUCAGCGUGGCUUUCUCCCUGACCCGAAAGGGUUGGGAAACCCGUUGAAUCUCCUUCGUGAUAGGGAUUGGGGCUUGAAAUUGUUCCCCAUGAACGAGGAAUUCCCAGUAAGCGCGAGUCAUAAGCUCGCGUUGAUUACGUCCCUGCCCUUUGUACACACCGCCCGUCGCUACUACCGAUUGAACGGUUUAGUGAGGGCCUGGGAUUGGUCUCGGCCCGCUCUUUACCGGGCGGCGCCGUUGGUCGAGAAGACGCUCGAACUUGAUCGUUUAGAGGAAGUAAAAGUCGUAACA
rnacentral:rRNA from 1 species